GUCUUCUCACUCCCACCAACCAAUAAUUUUAUUAUUUUAUUUUAACUCCCUUUCCUUUCCCUACGCCUCUCGUUCUCUCAGCUCAUUCUCAUCACUCUCCUUCUAUUUACAUUUCUCUCCUUCCCUCAAAACUCUCUCCUUUCCUCUGCACGCAAAGAGAGCUCCGAGAGCUCCAAAAACAAGUAGCUGCUGCUCCAUUUGGUUAGCAAGCAUCCAGGAACAUCCGAUAAAAUUAGAGGUUUGGUGUGUGGAGAUUGUUAGAUGUGUUAUCUUGUCAAAACUCGGAAUAUCAAGAUGAGUUGCUUAUGUAAUGUGUUGCAAAUUAUACUUAUUUUCAAAUAUCUCUAUUUCAAGUUAAUCAUGUUGAAUUUGUGGAAAUGCUUUCGGAAUUAUUAAUAUAGGAGUAAUGUUAUUCUUACUACAAUUUUAUAUCACAUUUCUUUACUAUCUUAGGUUCUUAGGUGGCAGAUGAGUUGGACAAGCUACAUCAUUUAAUUUCAAUCUUUUUAUUAAUUAAAACACUUAAAUAAUCUUAGGUGACAGAAGAAGACUCUUCGUAUACCACAAUCAUCAUUUAAUUAAUUUUUUUAUUUAUUAAUUAUUGAUUAACAUUUUGAAAUUAAAUGCUAAAUUAAUUUAGUUGAUGUGGCUGUCCACAUCAGAUGCCACCUAAGGUGGUAUACAAUUAUGGUACAAAAAUAUGGUAAGAAUAAUAUUAUUGUUAAUAUAGUGAUAUGUGGAUAUUUGGAAUUGUUCAUGGAGCAUGAGAACUUUAGUGUUGCAUUAAUCUGAUGAAUAAAUGUAAACUGCACACAGGAACAUUAUGACAGAAUGGCCAAUAAGAAUCACGUGAUAAAUUAUUUGACAAGAUAGGUGCCAGACGAGCUGAGAUUGAGAUAGACAAGAGAUUUAAGAGUUUUCCUUAUUUUUGUACCCUCUGUAAGGAUUUUGUAUUAAUUACUUGUAUAAGAGAAGUUUUUAUUUUUCGUUUUUACUUUUUGGCUUCAUCACCCUUCGGGUGAUGGCCAUCACAUCACUAUUCGGGUGUUCAUGUGGACAUUCUGGAUUAGGGUGUGACAUUUUACACAACUUGUGACACAAGUUUUUCUAUGGCACCCUCCGUAAUGUAUAUAUCAACGAUUUGAACUGUCUAUCUUUUAAAACAUCAUUCA